CUGGGAUAUGAUAGAAGAUGCAGGCCGAGCUAAAGAGAUAAAAGGCCCAGCUCCAGCUAGAGGAUAAGGUUACGGUUAAAAAGCGGGAUCCAUGUUCUAACGGUCUAUCUCUUCUUUCUCGAAACAGAGAAGAGAGAGAGAGAGUAUCAUACAACAGAGUUACAAAGAGAAAGAGAUACAGAGAUUGAGAGAAAGUAUCAAAGCGGAGGAGAAAGCUUGAUCGAGAUAGAGAUAUCGGUAGCUGAUCGCAGCUCUUGAGGUCAAGGAGCUUUCUAUGGAUCAUUCUGCGUGUCCUCUUCAUUAUCAGAGGAAUCGGAGGCUGAUAGUGAGUCGUCUUCUUCGCAGUCACUUUGGUACUCUUCUCCGAACAGUUCUCGGUAAAUCUCCUUGUAAUACCUGUACAAAGAAGAUAGAUCGGGUGAGAUCUUGAACUAUUGUAUCACAUUGAUCGAUAGUGAAGUGAAGAGAGUUUUGUUCUCUCCCCAGUCAGUAGAAAACGAAGACUGGGUAAACAAAACCUUGUGUUGAUCGCAUUACUUUGUUUUGAAGAUCCAUCACUAGUUAAGAUCAAGAUUAGGCUUAUAAUUGACUAAGUGAACCGGAUCAAGAUCGUAAUCGAACCUAGUCUGAUACCUUAACAAGUGGUAUCAGAGCCCGGUUCUUGGUUAAGAGAACUAGGUUCGCGCAGCGGUGAAGCUGUGGUUCAAGUGGAGUUUGUUUGUUGUGUGAUUUGGUGUGAAGCAAGUGUGAUUGACUGCAGAGGCUAAGAUGGAGUCGGUCCACGGGAAGUUUGAAAUAGAGAAGUUCGAUGGAUCUGGUGAUUUCGGUAUGUGGAAGUUCAAGAUGCAAAUGCAGCUGGAUCUGCAAAGGGCUGGGACACAUCUUGACUGAAGCAGCUAGCUCUACGAAAGUAGAAGCGACAGAUGAUAGUGACGACGUCACUGAUAAGGAAGUUAAGAUAGAUCCAUUGGCUAAAGAAAAGGAUACUCAAGCAAGAAACCUUAUCUGCUCAUGCCUCACCAACAUGGUACUAAGGAAAGUAAUGAGAGAAACUACCGCCAUGGGAGUUUGGAAAGCGCUUGAAGAAGACUAUCAGACUAAGACAUUGCCUAAUACGAUCUAUCUGAAGCAAAGUUUUGCAAGCUACAGAAUGGUUGAAAGUAAAAGCAUUGAAGAGAAUCUCGAUGUUUUCUUAAAACUGGUGGAUGAUUUUGCGAGCUUGAACAUUCAAGUCUCAGAUGAAGACCAAGCUAUACAGAUUCUAACAAGUCUACCACCACAGUAUGACUCUCUUGUUCACACCCUAAAAUAUGGGAAUGACAAAGAAACGUUAACGAUUAAAGAAGUUACCACAUCUGCGUAUGCAAAGGAAGCUGAACUAAAGGAAAAAGGCCUGUUAAAACGCUCCAAGUCUGAUGCAGAGGGACUUGUCGUUACCAGAGGAAGAAGUGACAAGAGACCAGGAAAAGGUGGAAGGUUUAGAUCAAAAAGCAAAGAUUUCCGGUCGAAGUCAAAAGGCAAAUGUCAACUGAAGACUAGGGAGUGUUGGAUCUGUGGUAAAGAAGGACAUUUCAAAAGAGAAUGUCCUGAGAGAAAAGAUCAGAGACCUCAGAAUGCGGCAAAUGUGGCUCAGGACAAAGAGUAUGCUAUGAUACUAACUGCAAGUGUUCAUGACACUAAGUCUGAGUGGAUUCUUGACUCAGGAUGUACUUUUCACAUCACACCAAAUCGAGAAGUGUUAUUUGAUUUUGUAGAAGAAAAUGGAGGCAGAGUAUUAAUGGGCAACAAUACGUUCAGUGAAGUUCAUGGGUAUGGAAAACUGAAGAUUGUUAACCCAGACAAGUCUACUGUGAUUCUAACUGAAGUGAGAUACAUGCCUACCAUGGGAAGAAACCUCAUAUCGUAUGGUCAACUUGAGAAGUGUGGCUGUACAUACAGAGGAGAAGGCUUCAAAGUUGUGUUCUUUAAGGAUGGAAAGAGAGUUCUUUCAGGGAGCUACAAAGAUGAGCUCUAUUAUCUUGAUGGUACAGUGGAUAAAGCAAAAGCGAACGUGCCAAGAAUUGUAGAAAAUCUGACAAAUCUUUGGCACUCAAGAUUGGGACAUAUGAGUUUGAAGAAUAUGAACUUUCUGGUGAAGAAUGGUUAUCUGAAAGAGAAGGAGGUUCACACGUUGGACUUCUGUGAGAACUGUGUUCUUGGAAAAACUCAUAAGUUGCCAUUUCCUACUGCCAAACACGCUACAACGGAAACUCUUGCAUAUGUUCAUAGUGAUCUGUGGGGUUCAGUGUCGAACACAGAAAGCUUAUCAGGUUGCAAGUACUUCCUAACGUUGAUAGAUGACUUCUCAAAGAAAGUUUGGAUCAUGUUCUUAAGGACUAAGGAUGAAACGUAUGAGAACAUUUCCGAAUGGAAGAAGCUGGUUGAAACUCAGACAGGAAAGAAAAUUAAGUGCUUACGCACGGAUAAUGGUCUUGAAUUAUGUAACAACCUGAUGGAUACUAUGUGUAAGGAAGCUGGGAUUAAGAGACAUUGAACGCAUGCUUAUACUCCACAGCAAAAUGGAGUAGCAGAAAGAAUGAACAGGACGAUAGCAGAUAAGAUUCGUUGUAUGCUAGCAGAGUCAGGACUUUGAGAAGAAGUUUUGGGCAGAAGCAGCUGCUACAGCAGUUUACUUGAUAAAUCGUACUCCUAGUGCUUAUAUCGAGUUUAAGAUUCCUGAAGAAGUGUGGUCUGGAGUUAAGGUGGAGUAUAGUCAUCUUAAGAGGUUUGGUUGUGUGGCCUACGUUCAUUCUGUUCAAGAUAAAAUGAGUCCAAGAGCGUUGAAAGGCAUUUUCAUGGGUUAUCCUCAAGGCACGAAAGGAUAUCGAUUGUGGUUGAUCGAGGAAGGAAAGUCGACAAUCAGCAGGAAUUAACGAGAAAAUGUUGUAUAAGGAAUACAAAAGAAAAAGGAGUGGCAAGUGAUGCCAAGGCUAAAAAGGUGACAUUCAAAGCUGAUUUAAUUCAGGGUCCUACUCGGAAAAAUUAUAUCUUUGAAGUUGGUUCAUCUUCAGAAUCAGGGAACACCAGUGAAGGUGGAGUUACUUCAAGUCAGAGAAGAAACUCUGAUUCAGAAGAAAGUGAAGAAGAAUCUGAAGGUCAGGAAGAAUCCUUAGAUGGUUAUCUACUUGCCAGAGAUCAUGUAAGGAGACAGACUAAGCCUUCGGCUAUGUUCGAGAGUGGAGACUCUGUGGCUUAUGCUUUAACAUGCGCUGAUGAUAUAGUAACUAAUGAGCCUAAGUCAUUAGCUGAAGCUAAACGAAGCAAAGACUGGGAUAAGUGGAAUGCUUCUAUGAAAGAAGAAAAGACUUUUUUGGAUAAGAAUCACACUUGGGAUAUUGUUGACAGACCUCUUAGACAAAGAGUCAUUGGGUGCAAGUGGAUUCAUAAGCUUAAAGAAGGAAUUCCAGGGGUUGAAGAUCCUAGAUACAAGUCUAGAUUGGUUGCGAAAGGUUUCACUCAAGUGGAAGGGGUUGACUACAAUGAGAUUUUUGCGCCAGUGGUAAAGCAUGUGUCUAUAAGGAUCAUCUUGUCCUAUGUUGUAAACGUUGAUGCUGAGCUAGAACAAAUGGAUGUGAAAACAGCAUUUCUACAUGGGAACCUAGAUGAGACCAUCUACAUGGAACAACCAGAAGGGUUUGUUAAGAAAGGAGAUGAAGGGAAAGUUUGUCUUCUCAAGAAGUCUCUUUACGGGCUGAAACAAUCUCCUAGACAGUGGAACUUGAGUUUUGAUUCAUUCAUCAAGACGCUUGGGUUUAUAAGGUGUAUUAAAGAUCACUGCGUGUACAUGAAGAAGAUAAAGACAGGAGAUUGUGUUUAUCUACUACUAUACGUGGAUGAUAUGUUGAUUGCUGCUAAAAGUAAAAAAAUACAUUCAAGUUUCGAAGAAGAGUUUGUGAACUGAAUUUGAAAUGAAAGAUCUUGGAGCAGCUUCUAGAAUUCUUGGAAUGGAUAUUUUGAGGGACAAGGAGAAGGGAGUGUUGAAACUGACACAAAAUAGAUACAUUGGUCAAGUGCUUAAGACAUUCGGAAUGGAAUUCUGUAAACCGGUAAUAACUCCUACAAAUUCUCAGUUUAAACUAAAGAGCUUGACAGAUAAGGAGUGGCUAUUUGAGUCGAAGGUUAUGGACUCUGUUCCGUAUGCGAGUGCAGUUGGGAGCCUAAUGUUUGCUAUGGUUGGUUCGAGGUCUGAUCUUGCUUUCGUGGUUGGGUUAGUUAGCAGGUUCAUGUCUAAACCAAGUAGAGAAAACUGGGAAGCUGUGAAGUGGAUACUAAGGUAUCUACAAGGAGCUAAAGAUGUGUGUCUAACGUUCACAAAGUCAGAAAGUUUUGAUGUUGAAGGCUUUUGUGAUUCGGAUUACUCUACUGACCUCGAUAAGCGAAGAUCAGUCACUGGAUAUGUGUUUAAAGUGGGUGGUAAUACAGUGAGUUGGAGAUCUACACUACAGCAUGUAGUGGCUUUGUCAACUACAGAGGCUGAGUAUAUGGCUUUGUCAGAGGCUACAAAGGAGGGUUUGUGGUUAAGGGAAUUCUGCAAUGAAUUAGGAUUUGACUCAGAGUUCUUUAAGCUACAUUGUGAUUCUCAAAGUGCUAUUUGCCUAGCUAAGAAUCCAGUUCAUCAUGACCGUACUAAACACAUUGCUCAAAAGAUUCAUUUCAUUAGAGACAUCAUUGAAAUGGGUCUAGUAAAGGUCUUAAAGAUUCAUACGAGUCUAAAUCCGGCAGAUAUGUUGACAAAGACAUUACCUGGAAGUGCGUUCGAGAAGUGCCUCGAAACGCUGGGGGUCAUUGCCUGAGCGACUUGAGAUGUACUCUGAGAUGGCACUAUUGUUUGGUCAUCUCAAUAAGAAGGGGUACAUGUUACAACAGAGAGCAAGUUGAGUUAGUGAUUUGUUCUCGGUCAAACAACGAAGUUAACUAACGGAAAGUUUAAAAAGCUACUGAGGUUCUUACGCAGGAGUUGCAGGUAUAUCGCCGAAGAUGUUCAGAUGCUGGUUAACUGAAGAAAAAAAUUUUUUUAGUGAAUCUGAGUUGACUACAAGAGAUGUGUACUUGGAGUGUCAGAUACUUACAGUAUUCAAGGUUUGACAGUCUUCGUGGUUGAACGUCAGUUGGUUCAGUUGGAUUUGAGGAUGGUUCAGGCUCAGGGUCUUGUGGUACUGGAACCGGAACAGAGUCUGGGAUUUUGAAGUCAGCUGGGAGAGUAAGAGUGGGAGAGCUUACGAGUUCAGGGUUGUAAAACAGAGGGUCAGGACGGUUUACAGGUUCCACGGGAAUGAGAUAAGAGCCUUCAUCGGCUUUGGGGUAACCGUUUGAACCGGAUUGACUGGUUUGCGGAGACUGAGGCAUUACGGUGAGACGGAGGAGCUGAGAUACGAUUUCGGCAGAAGUUUUUUGGUUUUGACCUAAUUCGACAAAGGUGGAGAAUUGUGAGGUGUUGUCGUUUAAGGGGUUUGGGCUGUGUGUUGGGCUUCUGAGAUAUGAUAGAAGACGCGGGCCGAGCUAAGGAGAUAAAAGGCCCAGCUCCAGCUAGAGGAUAAGGUUACGGUUAAAAAGCGGGACCCAUGCUCUAACGGUCUAUCUCUUCUUCCUCGAAACAGAGAAGAGAGAGAGAGAGUAUCGUACAACAGAGUUACAGAGAGAAAGAGAUACAGAGAUUGAGGGAAAGUAUCAAGGCGGAGGAGAAAGCUUGAUCGAGAUAGAGAGAUCCGGUAGCUGAUCGCAGCUCUUGAGGUCAAGGAGCUUUCUCCGGAUCAUUCUGCGUGUCCUCUUCGUUAUCAGAGAAAUCGGAGGCUGAUAGUGAGUCGUCUUCUUCGCAGUCACUUUGGUACUCUUCUCCGAACAGUUCUCGGUAAAUCUCCUUGUAAUACCUGUACAAAGAAGAUAGAUCGGGUGAG
rnacentral:lncRNA from 1 species